rnacentral:rRNA from 1 species
AUUGAACGCUGGCGGUAUGCUUAACACAUGCAAGUCGAACGGUAGCAGGCCUUCGGGCGCUGACGAGUGGCGGACGGGUGAGUAACGCGUAGGAAUCUGCCUCAUAGUGGGGGACAACGUGGGGAAACUCACGCUAAUACCGCAUACGCCCUACGGGGAAAGCGGGGGAUCUUCGGACCUCGCGCUAUGAGAUGAGCCUGCGUUAGAUUAGCUAGUUGGUAGGGUAAAGGCCUACCAAGGCGACGAUCUAUAGCUGGUCUGAGAGGACGAUCAGCCACACUGGGACUGAGACACGGCCCCAGACUCCUACGGGAGGCAGCAGUGGGGAAUAUUGGACAAUGGGGGCAACCCUGAUCCAGCCAUGCCGCGUGAGUGAAGAAGGCCUGGUGUAAGA